rnacentral:rRNA from 1 species
GACGUAGGGGGCGAGCGUUGUCCGGAUUCAUUGGGCGUAAAGAGCGCGUAGGCGGCCCGGAAAGUGGGGUGUGAAAACCCGAGGCUCAACCUCGGGCGUGCAUUCCAAACUCCCGGGCUUGAGGCAGGUAGGGGAGAUCGGAAUUCCUGGUGUAGCGGUGAAAUGCGUAGAUAUUGGGAGGAACACCAGUGGCGAAGGCGGCUCACUGGACCGGUACUGACGCUGAGGCGCGAAAGCGUGGGGAGCAAACGUG